AACGAACGCUGGCGGCAGGCUUAACAUAUGCAAGUCGAGCGCCCCGCAAGGGGAGCGGCAGACGGGUGAGUAACGCGUGGGAAUCUACCCACCUCUACGGAAUAACGCAUGGAAACGUGUGCUAAUACCGUAUACGUCCUUCGGGAGAAAGACUUAUCGGAGAUGGAUGAGCCCGCGUUGGAUUAGCUAGUUGGUGGGGUAAAGGCCUACCAAGGCGACGAUCCAUAGCUGGUCUGAGAGGAUGAUCAGCCACACUGGGACUGAGACACGGCCCAGACUCCUACGGGAGGCAGCAGUGGGGAAUACUGGACAAUGGGCGCAAGCCUGAUCCAGCCAUGCCGCGUGAGUGAUGAAGGCCCUAGGGUUGUAAAGCUCUUUCACCGGUGAAGAUAAUGACGGUAACCGGAGAAGAAGCCCCGGCUAACUUCGUGCCAGCCGCCGCUGUAAUAC
rnacentral:rRNA from 1 species